rnacentral:rRNA from 1 species
GACAGAGGGGGCAAGCGUUGCUCGGAAUUACUGGGCGUAAAGGGCGCGUAGGCGGGAUGGCAAGUCGGUCGUGAAAUCCCUCGGCUCAACCGAGGAACGUCGAUCGAUACUGCUGUUCUUGAGGAUUGCAGAGGAGACUGGAAUUCCCGGUGUAGCGGUGAAAUGUGUAGAGAUCGGGAGGAACACCGGUGGCGAAGGCGGGUCUCUGGGCAAUUCCUGACGCUGAGACACGAAAGCGUGGGGAGCAAACAGG